GUGCUGGCUUCAGCGGCACAUAUGCUAAAAAUGGGAAUGAUACAGAGAAGAUCGGCAUGGCUCCUGCACAAAGAUGAUACGCAAAUUUGUGAUGCAUCCCAUAUUUUU